rnacentral:rRNA from 1 species
UUCAACGGAGAGUUUGAUCCUGGCUCAGGACGAACGCUGGCGGCGUGCUUAACACAUGCAAGUCGAGCGGAAAGGCCCUUUCGGGGGUACUCGAGCGGCGAACGGGUGAGUAACACGUGAGUAAUCUGCCCUUGGCUUCGGGAUAGCCACCGGAAACGGUGAUUAAUACCGGAUACGACACAUCACUGCAUGGUGCGUGUGUGGAAAGUUUUUUCGGCCAGGGAUGUGCUCGCGGCCUAUCAGCUUGUUGGUGGGGUAAUGGCCUACCAAGGCUUCGACGGGUAGCCGGCCUGAGAGGGUGACCGGCCACACUGGGACUGAGACACGGCCCAGACUCCUACGGGAGGCA